rnacentral:rRNA from 1 species
GACGAACGCUGGCGGCGUGCCUAAUACAUGCAAGUUGAGCGAUGAAGAUUGGUGCUUGCACCCAUUUGAAGAGCAGCGAACGGGUGAGUAACGCGUGGGUAAUCUGCCUUUGAGCGGGGGACAACAUUUGGAAACGAAUGCUAAUACCGCAUAACAACUUUAAACAUAAGUUUUAAGUUUGAAAGAUGCAAUUGCAUCACUCAAAGAUGAUCCCGCGUUUUAUUAGCUAGUUGGUGAGGUAAAGGCUCACCAAGGCGAUGAUACAUAGCCGACCUGAGAGGGUGAUCGGCCAAAUUGGGAAUGAGACACGGCCCAAACUCCUACGGGAGGCAGCAGUAGGGAAUCUUCGGCAAUGGACGAAAGUCUGACCGAGCAACGCCGCGUGAGUGAAGAAGGUUUUCGGAUCGUAAAACUCUGUUGGUAGAGAAGAACGUUGGUGAGAGUGGAAAGCUCAUCAAGUGACGGUAACUACCCAGAAAGGGACGGCUAACUACGUG